rnacentral:tRNA from 1 species
GCCGGUGUGGCGGAACUGGCAGACGCGACGGAUUCAAAAUCCGUUUCCCCUCAAAGGGAGUGCAGGUUCGAUUCCUGUCACCGGCA